AUCUUGGCUUCCUUCUUAUUUUAGGUAACUUUGAAAUUAAUGUUUAAGUUGACUUUCAUCAAGUUGAUAUUAGCACUUGCCUAAAAUAUUAAUCUAAAAAUGGUUCUUUUGACAUUAUCACGUUGUGAACAUUUUUUUUCCUAAUUACUGAAUUUCUUGUCAAAUCACCCUUAUACAAAGUACUUGGCAUCUGUUACUUCAGUUUGCUUACUAUAAUCUUGUCAUCUGAUGGAAACUUAAUAUUCAAUUGAUGUGCCAUGCAGUGAGGAGCUGAGCUUAAAUUUG
rnacentral:misc_RNA from 1 species